AUAAAAACCAACCAUAGGGUGUAUGGUGAAAACCAUUCCUGCACCAUACAGUGUACCAGCUACAAUAAAGUGUAUUGUAAUGAAAUGGUUCGCUAUACUAUACAUUUACAUUGGAUUUUUAUGUAACAAUAUAUUAUACUGUUUUUCUUACGUUUGAACCAUUCACUUUUCCGAAACAUUAUUUUUCCGUGAUUUUUUAAUUAUUUCUGGUGUUCGAUUUGAAUAGAUCGUAUGUUUGCUGUGAUUCCUAUGCAGAUUCGACCUAUUCAAAUCGAACACCAGAUUUAUUCAGUUUAAGAUUUUUUCCGUGCUUUGUUUUGUUGAUGUUUGUAACUUUUUUGAUGCAAAGGAAAGGAAAGAGAAAAAAGUGAAUAAGUUGAAACAUCAAUUUAAUCUUUUGUAAUCGAUAUUUUUCGCCGCUGUCGAUGCAUCCUCGCUGGUGUCGAACACGUUUGUUAUGCUCGGUUUCAUCGCCGGGGUCAUAUAUGACCCCUCCGGCUCCAAAGGGUUAAUGCCAAUAACAUGUUUAAAUCAGUGGUAAACCAGAUGUCCUAAGAACUGCAGGUCCAAGCAGGGGUGUGUAGAGUGCGAUGAGAGAAAUACGAAUGCAAUGUAGGCCAACCCGGAAAGAUGCAGGUCAGAUUACCGUAAAUCAGUAGAUGAGUUCAACACAGCCUCCUGUCACCGCAAUAC